rnacentral:snoRNA from 1 species
ACGACCUUACUUGAACAGGAUCUGUUCUAUAGGCUCGUACCGCUGCAUCCUUUACCAAUAAGGAGGCAAGCACUUCAGUAUGGUUGAUGCAUUCUAACCUCUGGGCCAGAGCGUGAUUAACGGCUUGGAUUAACCUGAUGGGUGACAUCCAACCGCUGUAGAGGAUCGUUCCUGUUCCAGUACACACUGGUGCGGGUGGCUCAGAGGUUGUCUGACAGACU